GUGCCAGCAGCCGCGGUAAUACGUAGGCAGCGAGCGUUGUUCGGAAUUACUGGGCGUAAAGAGUGUGUAGGCGGUGCUAUAAGUUCGGUGUGAAAUCUCCCGGCUCAACUGGGAGGGUGCGCCGAAAACUGUAGUGCUCGAACGUGGGAGAGGAAAGCGGAAUUCCUGGUGUAGCGGUGAAAUGCGUAGAUAUCAGGAGGAACACCUGCGGUGUAGACGGCUUUCUGGACUAUUGUUGACGCUGAGUCACGAAAGCGUGGGUAGCAAACAGGAUUAGAUACCCUGGUAGUCC
rnacentral:rRNA from 1 species